rnacentral:rRNA from 1 species
GACGAACGCUGGCGGCGUGCUUAACACAUGCAAGUCGAACGGAAAGGCCCUGCUUUUGUGGGGUGCUCGAGUGGCGAACGGGUGAGUAACACGUGAGUAACCUGCCCUUGACUUUGGGAUAACUUCAGGAAACUGGGGCUAAUACCGGAUAGGAGCUCCUGCUGCAUGGUGGGGGUUGGAAAGUUUCGGCGGUUGGGGAUGGACUCGCGGCUUAUCAGCUUGUUGGUGGGGUAGUGGCUUACCAAGGCUUUGACGGGUAGCCGGCCUGAGAGGGUGACCGGCCACAAUGGGACUGGGGUUCGGGCCCGGCUCCUACGGGAGGCAGCAGGGGGGAAAAAUGCACAAUGGGCGGAAGCCUGGUGCAGCAACGCCGCGUGCGGGAUGACGGCCUUCGGGUUGUAAACCGCUUUCGCCUGUGACGAAGCGGGAGUGACGGUAAUGGGUAAAGGAGCACCGGCUAAAUACGUG